UCCCGUUCCAAGUUUAGGGACCUUUUUUCCAACUUUUGAAAGCCUAGGGAUUUAGCUGCAAAUUUUUUAGGUUUUAAUAUAAAAACAAAAUCUGGGUUUCUUGCUGGGGAUUCUGCCGGUUUUGCCUCCUACGUCUUUUAAUUUUCUUUUUCUUUUCUUUCUUCAUUCCUUUUUUUUUUUUUCUUGAUAAUUUUUGGAGGACAAAUCAUAGAGCAAGGAGAAUAUAUCUAAGGUGGAGAAAUAUUCAGAAAAGUCAAGGCCAAGCUUCACAAGGGUUUGAUCUAUAACUUUGUAUUUUCUCGAUUAUUUUGUCAUAUUUUUAAUGUAUAAUAUUCUUCUUUAUAUUAUUUAUAUAACAUGGAGUAAUUUAUUGUUGGGAUUUAUGAUAUUAGUUUAAUCUGAU
rnacentral:lncRNA from 1 species